rnacentral:lncRNA from 1 species
AAUCCUAUAAACACAAAUCCCUUCCUUUUCCUAGUAGACUCUUCCUUCCCUGAUGCCACCCCCACCUCCAAGAUAGUCUUGCUCCUGAGCUUCUAUAAGUUCCCCAGCUGUUCAGACAUAUUGAGAGGGUUUUGUGCUUUGUGCAUGGUGCGUGCGUGCGUGCAUGUGUGCGCACGCGCAGGAGGGCAUGCCUGUGCACAUGCGCUUUAAAAGAUAAAGACGGAACUCAGGACCUUGAGCAGUGCUCUACCACAAGGCUGUACACAGCACAGCUUCCGCUCCAUGCACUUCUGUUGUACUUUAAUGAUCAGUCAUCCUCAGUG